AUUGAUAGUGGCUGAGACAGUUGAGGAGCCCUGAGACCUGGAGAGCCUGUCUUACAAGCCUCAGUCUCAUGACUGUCCUGUAGACACAGGAGAGGCCAGCCCCUGCUACUUCACUCAACAGGACACAGAUAUUAAACCAAUAGUGUUAUCAUCAUGAAGAAUUGCUUGGGAGUGACAUCAUCAACAUGGCGCAAUAUGAGUUUUCUACCUCCAAAAGAACACCAAUGAGGACAAUCACCCAUGGAUGAGAGUGCCUUUGUGGAAGUCCAGGAGGACAGUGGAGAAGAUCCAGUGCAAUAUUAAAGGGAAAAAAAAUCCAGAAUUGGACACAUUAAAGAGG
rnacentral:lncRNA from 1 species